UCCGGCUUAUCACCGGCGGUUUCUUUAGAGUGCCCAACUAAAUGAUGGCAACUAAAGACGAGGGUCGCGCUCGUUGCGGGACUUAACCCAACAUCUCACGACACGAGCUGACGACAGCCAUGCAACAUCUGUGUUCCAGCCACCCGAGGUGAAGGAAGGCAUCUCUGCCGACCAUACUGGACAUGUCAAGAGCUGGUAAGGUUCUUCGCGUUGCCUCGAAUUAAACCACAUGCUCCACCGCUUGUGCGGGUCCCCGUCAAUUUCUUUGAGUUUUAAUCUUGCGACCGUACUCCCCAGGCGGCACGUUUAACGCGUUAGCUUCGCCACAAAAGGGGUCGAUUCCUCUUACAGCAAACGUGUACCGUUUACAGCUAGGACUAC
rnacentral:misc_RNA from 1 species